rnacentral:lncRNA from 1 species
AUGGCAAGGAAGGAAAGAAAAAUACCAGUGUCAGGUUCCCCCCGGCAGAUACCCGCAGCCGGGCCUCACCGCCCUCGCGUCUUUGUGAAGCGCCCGGCCGCCCGCUGCCUCUCCCCUCUCCCUCCCUCCGUUCGGUGGCCGCGGGGGACCGAGAUCCGGGCCGUGCGCCCACCGCCAAAGGGACACACGGGGACACACGGGGACCGGCACAGCGCGGCAGCCGCAGCAUCCCCACGGCGGCGGAGCGCCGGGAGACAGAUGGCAGCCCGGGCUCAGCGAGCAGAGCCGCCCAAGCGCCUUAACGCCGGGAUCUCAUCCGCUCGCUCCUCUUCUCGGAGGUUCUCUCCUUUAGGAGCCGGAGGCCCCGGCAGAAGGGCAUCUCCGUUCGGGAUUUUUUGCCUCUCCAGAAGCGUCGACUCAGCGAAUAGCUGCUCGGACCGCAGAGCCGCGCAGAGCCGCGCACACCCUGCGGGCCGCGGUGCCACCCGCUGCGGGCAGCGCGCGGCCCGGCAACAAGCGAGGCGCCCCCGGAGCGCGGCGCUGCCCACCGCCCACCCCCCAGCGCGGUGCUCCCCGGGCGGGGCGCGCAGCCCCCGCAGCGCCGCGCGGAGCCGAGCCCCGGGCUGCCGGAGCGCCGCGCCCGCACUCACCGAGCAGCAGCAGCGCCCGCACCGCCGCCAUCCUCGCCCCGCGCCGCUCACAGCGCGCCCCGCGCCCGGGCCAUGCCGCUACCGCCGCCCCGCCCGCCGCCGCCGCCGCCGGGAGGGGCUUCCGGGGGAGGGCCGGGCGGCGGAAACCGGGCGGGGCCCGGGGAGGGAGGGGAGCGCCUCCCUCCGUUGGGUCUGCCGGAGGGGCUGCCCCCCGGCCCACGUGUGCCCCGUGCCCGCGAGGCCGCCGAGCCCCGGCCGCCGCCGCCGCGGGGAAACCGCCGCUUCCCGCCGCCCGAACCCCAGCGCUGCGGUUGCGGCCGGGGUCGGGGCAGCCUCGAGUGGAAGUUGGAAGCGGGUCCCGCCGAGGCUCUCCCGCGGCUUCCCCGCUCCCCGCAGCAAGGGACCCACGGCCGCAGCGGUGUGA